rnacentral:rRNA from 1 species
AGCGAACGCUGGCGGCAGGCCUAACACAUGCAAGUCGAACGAACUCUUCGGAGUUAGUGGCGGACGGGUGAGUAACACGUGGGAACGUGCCUUUAGGUUCGGAAUAACUCAGGGAAACUUGUGCUAAUACCGAAUGUGCCCUUCGGGGGAAAGAUUUAUCGCCUUUAGAGCGGCCCGCGUCUGAUUAGCUAGUUGGUGAGGUAAAGGCUCACCAAGGCGACGAUCAGUAGCUGGUCUGAGAGGAUGAUCAGCCACAUUGGGACUGAGACACGGCCCAAACUCCUACGGGAGGCAGCAGUGGGGAAUCUUGCGCAAUGGGCGAAAGCCUGACGCAGCCAUGCCGCGUGAAUGAUGAAGGUCUUAGGAUUGUAAAAUUCUUUCACCGGGGACGAUAAUGACGGUACCCGGAGAAGAAGCCCCGGCUAACUUC